GCGACGCCGCGUGGGUGAAGAAGGCUGCGGUUGUAAGACCUUCGGUGAGGAAGAAAGUUACGACCUAACACGUCGGGACCUGACGUAACCCACUAAAGAAGACACCGGCUAACUCUGUGCCAGCAGCCGCGGUAAUACAGAGGGUGCGAGCGUUAAUCGGAAUUACUGGGCGUAAAGCGCGCGUAGGCGGCUUUGCAAGUCGGAUGUGAAAUCCCCAGGCUUAACCUGGGAACUGCUUCCGAGACUGCAUCGCUAGAGUAUGGGAGAGGGAAGUGGAAUUUCAGGUGUAGCGGUGAAAUGCGUAGAUAUCUGAAGGAACAUCAGUGGCGAAAGCGACUUCCUGGACCAAUACUGACGCUCAUGUGCGAAAGCGUGGGGAGCAAACAGGAUUAGAUACCCUGGUAGUCCACGCCAUAAACGAUGAGAACUGGAUGUCGGGAGGGUCUGCCUCUCGGUGUCGUAGCUAACGCGUUAAGUUCUCCGCCUGGGGAGUACGGCCGCAAGGUUG
rnacentral:rRNA from 1 species